rnacentral:rRNA from 1 species
CCUACGGGAGGCAGCAGUGGGGAAUUUUGGACAAUGGGCGAAAGCCUGAUCCAGCAAUGCCGCGUGAGUGAAGAAGGCCUUCGGGUUGUAAAGCUCUUUUGUCAGGGAAGAAACGGUGAGAGCUAAUAUCUCUUGCUAAUGACGGUACCUGAAGAAUAAGCACCGGCUAACUACGUGCCAGCAGCCGCGGUAAUACGUAGGGUGCAAGCGUUAAUCGGAAUUACUGGGCGUAAAGCGUGCGCAGGCGGUUUUGUAAGUCUGAUGUGAAAUCCCCGGGCUCAACCUGGGAAUUGCAUUGGAGACUGCAAGGCUAGAAUCUGGCAGAGGGGGGUAGAAUUCCACGUGUAGCAGUGAAAUGCGUAGAUAUGUGGAGGAACACCGAUGGCGAAGGCAGCCCCCUGGGUCAAGAUUGACGCUCAUGCACGAAAGCGUGGGGAGCAAACAGGAUUAGAUACCCUGGUAGUCCACGCCCUAAACGAUGUCUACUAGUUGUCGGGUCUUAAUUGACUUGGUAACGCAGCUAACGCGUGAAGUAGACCGCCUGGGGAGUACGGUCGCAAGAUUAAAACGUCAAAGGAAUUGACGG